UCCCCUGUAGCUCAGUCGGUAGAGCAGCGGACUGUUAAUCCGCGUGUCGUUGGUUCAAGUCCAACCGGGGGAG
rnacentral:tRNA from 1 species